AAAAAUCCCCACCAUUUUGUUUCUUUACUUGCUUUUAUCUCUAAGAAUUACUCUGCCUGUUCAGAUUUCCAGUAGCUGUAAGAAAUGCAGAAGGAAUUGGGCCAACAACUAUCACAAACAUCACUACACAGCCAAACAGAGGUAAAAAAUGGGGGUAGGGAACUACUUAUUGUUGGGUUUGGGUUGUUAUAGAAUUAUCUAGUAAUAAGAUCAUUUUUUUUUCUUUGUGACUUCUUCACCCUAGAACAAUCCACAAAUGCUAUCUUGUGGUUGUCACAGAAAAAUUAUCUCUACCAAAGUGAACCAGGAACCAUGGAAGAAAUGCUAUGUAAGAAUGUCCCAUGGAUCAAAAUGCAUCACUGAUACAAAGCAAUUUUUUGAUCUUUGGGAUAACUGCUGAUCUACAUGAAAAUGAGCUCUUUAUUGCAGAUGGGCAACACAUUUGGACUGUUUCUCCAGCCAAUCUCACAAAUCCAAGACUUCUCUACAAGAGUAAUGUUACUGUGAGGGAUAUUUCUGUGGACUGGUUGUUUAAAAAGCUGUACUUUGUUGUCAACCUUAAGGUAUACUUUUGUUCUAUUUUUCCUAUAAAUUGAUCAUAUUCUUCUACCAAAUGUUUCACAAGGUGAAACACUAACAGAUUUAAAAUUGUGUUUUCAUGUAGUCACAUAAUUACAAUUAUUUACAAAAUUAAUUCAAUAAUUUUUUGAGUGCCUAGUAGUUGUAAGACACUGAAUAAGUCACUCUUUGGUGUUGAAAAUAUGUUAACUCAUUCUUUUGAAUCAUAACUUGACACAUGAUGAAAGCACAGAUUCCCUGAACACCACUAUUGACUAUCUUGGCUUUAGAUACUUAAGAAGGAAGGAAACAACAUUUAUUAAACACUUGCUGGGCUAAUACUUCAAAAAUUAUCUUAUUUGAUCCUCACAACAAUCCUGGAAGGAAGGUGCUAUUAUAAUACCCAUUUUACAGUUGAGGAAACUGAAACAAACAGAACAUCAGUGAUAUGCUUAGGGUCACAUAGCUACUAAAUGUCUGAGACUAUAUUUGUACUCAGGUCUUCCCAACUGCAGGCCCCACACACUAUCCACUGAACUAACCUGACUGCUUAUUUAAUAAUAAACAGGUUGUGGUACGUUGGUUGAGUUUAAAU
ensembl:lncRNA